GAUGAACGCUGGCGGCGUGCCUAACACAUGCAAGUCGAGCGAACAGACGAUGAGCUUGUGCUCUUGACGUUAGCGGCUGACGGGCGGGUAACACGUGGAUCACCUACUUAUAUUUCUGGGAUAAUUUCGGAAAACCGGAUAUAAUACUGCAUAAUAUAUUGUACCGCAUGAAUCAAUGGAGAAUCACGCCUUUGCUGUUACUAUUAGACGGAUCCGGGCCGGAUUAGCUAGUUGGUAAGGUAACGGCCUACCAAGGCGACGAUGCGUAGCUGAUCUGAGAGGAUGAUCGGCCACACUGGAACUGAGACACGGUCCAGACUCCUACGGGAGGCAGCAGUAGGGAAUAUUGGGCAAUGGGCGCAAGCCUGACGCAGCAACACCGCGUGGGUGAAGAAGGCCUUCGGGUCGUAAAACCCUGUUGUUAGGGAAGAAAAAAUGUGUAUGUAACUAUGGAUGUUUUGACGGUACCUAAUGAGAAAGCCACGGCUAACUACGUG
rnacentral:rRNA from 1 species